rnacentral:rRNA from 1 species
GACGAACGCUGGCGGCGUGCCUAAUACAUGCAAGUUGAGCGCUGAAGGUUGGUACUUGUCCCAACUGGAUGAGCAGCGAACGGGUGAGUAACGCGUGGGGAAUCUGCCUUUGAGCGGGGGACAACAUUUGGAAACGAAUGCUAAUACCGCAUAAAAACUUUAAACACAAGUUUUAAGUUUGAAGGAUGCAAUUGCAUCACUCAAAGAUGAUCCCGCGUUGUAUUAGCUAGUUGGUGAGGUAAAGGCUCACCAAGGCGAUGAUACAUAGCCGACCUGAGAGGGUGAUCGGCCACAUUGGGACUGAGACACGGCCCAAACUCCUACGGGAGGCAGCAGUAGGGAAUCUUCGGCAAUGGACGAAAGUCUGACCGAGCAACGCCGCGGGAGUGAAGAAGGGUUUCGGAUCGUAAAACUCUGUUGGUAGAGAAGAACGUUGGUGAGAGUGGAAAGCUCAUCAAGUGACGGUAACUACCCAGAAAGGGACGGCUAACUACGUG